GUGCACCACACACAGUGCAGAAAUUCAGCACCUCGUGUAGUGAUUGGUCAUUGCGUUGGGGGGAGGGAGUCUUUGAAAAAAAAAAAUUUUAUGGGUGAGGAGGGUUUUUCGUGCCAAUCACUGCACGCGGUGAAGCUCAUCCUGCACCACGUGUGGUGCAAUAAGAAUUUUGUUUAGCUUAAAAGUGAUUUUUUGUGCAUCACGUGCAAUGCAAAAAUUUAGCAUCAUACGAUGAUUGGUCACCGUGAGGGGGGAGGGGAA
rnacentral:lncRNA from 1 species